rnacentral:lncRNA from 1 species
GUGGUAGCUGUUGGACUGACCACUGAUGCUGCAGGAUUUUGCAGGCCAUUAUAUUUCACAAGCCAUGAAACAUGUGAAAUAAGUUAAACAGUUUUCCAAAAUCUACCAACAUCUGCCUUCAGGGGUGGGAAGUACAGAGCUGGUUUUGAACCCACAAUGCCAGAGCAGAAUGUAGCAUUCAUGCUUGGUGGGAUCCCUACUUCCAAGAAAGGGAAGAUUAGAUGUGAUCGUGGAUGAAUUAUGUACCGAAAUCAUCCAGACAAUGGAGGAUCUCCUUAUAUAGCAGCCAGCAUCAAUGUAGUUAAAGACCCACUACAAGGUCAAGCUAAAAUGA